rnacentral:lncRNA from 1 species
GCUAUUGGUGAAGAUGCAGUUCAGUUGUAGUUGAUAGCCCAGAACUGAAGGGGCCAUGCAAAGAAGUUGAGGCUUGACACCAUAAAGGGAGCCUAUGAGAGGCUAUUGGUGAAGCCUGGUUGCACAGAAGACUCCAGUGUAUUGGAGAUGCCAGUACCAUAGUAUGGUCACUCAGAAUAGCAGAGGCAGUGGAGGGGAGUCAGCCUGACCUUCGAGAGCUACAGGAGACAGAGCUGGAGAUGAGCUUCAAGCCCUUUGGAGAAGCACAGAAAAUCAUGUAUGGAUCCCAGACAUUGGAACAAGAAACUGUGAAGUUGAUGUUGCCCUGGAGAACCCAAGAAGUCCAAGAUGCAGAACCAUAGGAUACCUGCUGAGGAAAGCUGCUAACAGGGAGUGGAACCAGCCAAAGAGAAAGAAUUGUGUUAUAGUCAACAAAGCAGGAAGAAGUUAGAUGUCUGAUAUGGAGUUGCAGAGUUUUGUCCAGAUGACUUUUGGCCUUGCUUUUGUCCAGGAUUUCCUCACUAGGACAUUUUGGAGUGGUAAAGUACAGCCUGUGAUGUUGGAGCUUCAGAAACUACCAUUACCCUGUGACUCUUUGAAGUACCGUUUUUUGUUUCAACUUCACACAACCUAUAGUCUCCUGGGAAGAGGGACUCUCAAUUGAAGAGUCAUCUUGAUCAGAUUGGCCUGUGGACAUGUCUGUGAGAGAUUGUCUUGAUUGCUGAUUGAUGUGUGAGAGCCUGGCUCACUAUGGGCAGCACUAUCCCUAGGGAGGAGGACUUGGGCUCUAUUAGAAAGCUACCUGGGCAUGAGCCAGUGAUUGAGCCAGCAUUCCUUCAUGGUUUCUACCUCAAGUUCCUGCCCUGCUUAAUUAAGUUCAUGCCUUGACGUUCCUCAGCAAUGGACGACGAUCUGGAAGGAAUAAGAUGUAGAACUCUCACCUCCUUCAACACCAUGCCUGCCUGGAUGCUGCCAUGUUUCCUGCCUUGAUGAUAAUGGACUGAACCUCUGAACCUGUCAGCCAGCCCUAAUUAAAUGUUGUCCUUUGUAAUAGUUGCCUUGGUCAUGGUGUCUCUUCCCAGCACUGAAAAUGAUAACUAAGACGUCUUUCCCCAUUUACACUUAUGUGAUAAGAUUCUGAAACAUUAAAUAUGGAAGUUGUUCAU